rnacentral:misc_RNA from 1 species
GCAACCCUUCGUGUAAUCUAUCUUUGUCAUGCUCAGAGGAGGUGUGUUAUCAGUUUCUGUUGCCAACAGGAACUGUGGGAAAUCCAUGUGCUGGGAACUCAACAACAGUGACCAGGAAGCCAAUGUGUUUGGAUGUCAAUGGACCAUUUCCAUAUGGGAUAUACCAAUGGGCACUUCCUGUUGUUUCUAGCAGAUCCGUCACUGUUAAGAUUCUUUACCCCAUCUUUUGGGGAUUGAUGACCCUUAG